AUUGAACGCUGGCGGCAGGCCUAACACAUGCAAGUCGAACGAGUGGCGGACGGGUGAGUAAUGUCUGGGAAACUGCGUGAAGGAGGGGGAUAACUCCUGGAAACGGUAGCUAAUACCGCAUACCAUCAGAUGUGCCCAGAUGGUGUUAGCUUGUUGGUGGGGUAAAGGGUCACCAGGUCGACGAUCCCUAGCUGGUCUGAGAGGAGGACCAGCGACACUGGAACGGAGACACGUUCCAGACUCCUACGGGAGGCAGCAGUGGGGAAUAUUGCACAAUGGGCGCAAGCCUGGUGCAGCCAGGCCGCGUGUGUGGCGAAGGCCUUCGGGUUGGAAAGUACUUUCAGCGGGGAGGCGGUACCCGCAGAAGAAGCACCGGCUAACUCCGUGCCAGCAGCCGCGGUAAUAC
rnacentral:rRNA from 1 species